rnacentral:rRNA from 1 species
AGUCACUGACAUUAGAUACCCCGGUAGUCCAGGGUGUAAACGCUGCAGACUUGGUGUUGGAAGCCCUUUGGGGGCAUUCAGUGCCGGAGAGAAGUUGUUAAGUCUGCUACUUGGGAGUACGUCCGCAAGGAUGAAACUUAAAGGAAUUGGCGGGGAGCACCGCAACGGGAGGAGCGUGCGGUUUAAUUGGAUUCAACACCGUAAAACUCACCAGGGAAGACUGUUACAUGAAGGCCGAGAUGAAGACUCUGCUAGAUUUUCAG